rnacentral:rRNA from 1 species
AGACCCGAAACCCGGUGAUCUAGCCAUGGGCAGGUUGAAGGUUGGGUAACACUAACUGGAGGACCGAACCGACUAAUGUUGAAAAAUUAGCGGAUGACCUGUGGCUGGGGGUGAAAGGCCAAUCAAACCGGGAGAUAGCUGGUUCUCCCCGAAAGCUAUUUAGGUAGCGCCUCGUGAAUUCAUCUCCGGGGGUAGAGCACUGUUUCGGCUAGGGGGCCAUCCCGGCUUACCAACCCGAUGCAAACUGCGAAUACCGGAGAAUGUUAUCACGGGAGACACACGGCGGGUGCUAACGUCCGUCGUGAAGAGGGAAACAACCCAGACCGCCAGCUAAGGUCCCAAAGUCAUGGUUAAGUGGGAAACGAUGUGGGAAGGCCCAGACAGCCAGGAUGUUGGCUUAGAAGCAGCCAUCAUUUAAAGAAAGCGUAAUAGCUCACUGGUCGAGUCGGCCUGCGCGGAAGAUGUAACGGGGCUAAACCAUGCACCGAAGCUGCGGCAGCGAACGUAUCACUUAAAGCGAUUCAGCGGGUUACGACUGACGGAGCGAAGCGACGUCAAAGCGUAUACAAAGUCGAGUCGGUUUAAGGAUACGUUCGUUGGGUAGGGGAGCGUUCUGUAAGCCUGCGAAGGUGGCCUGUGAGGGUUGCUGGAGGUAUCAGAAGUGCGAAUGCUGACAUAAGUAACGAUAAAGCGGGUGAAAAGCCCGCUCGCCGGAAGACCAAGGGUUCCUGUCCAACGUUAAUCGGGGCAGGGUGAGUCGACCCCUAAGGCGAGGCCGAAAGGCGUAGUCGAUGGGAAACGGGUUAAUAUUCCCGUACUUGGUGUUACUGCGAAGGGGGGACGGAGAAGGCUAUGUUGGCCGGGCGACGGUUGUCCCGGUUUAAGCGGGUAGGUGUGUGUUCCAGGUAAAUCCGGUUCACUUUAACACUGAGGCGUGACGACGAGGCACUACGGUGCUGAAGCAACAAAUGCCCUGCUUCCAGGAAAAGCCUCUAAGCAUCAGGUAACAUCAAAUCGUACCCCAAACCGACACAGGUGGUCAGGUAGAGAAUACCAAGGCGCUUGAGAGAACUCGGGUGAAGGAACUAGGCAAAAUGGUGCCGUAACUUCGGGAGAAGGCACGCUGACACGUAGGUGAAGUGAUUUACUCAUGGAGCUGAAGUCAGUCGAAGAUACCAGCUGGCUGCAACUGUUUAUUAAAAACACAGCACUGUGCAAACACGAAAGUGGACGUAUACGGUGUGACGCCUGCCCGGUGCCGGAAGGUUAAUUGAUGGGGUCAGCGCAAGCGAAGCUCCUGAUCGAAGCCCCGGUAAACGGCGGCCGUAACUAUAACGGUCCUAAGGUAGCGAAAUUCCUUGUCGGGUAAGUUCCGACCUGCACGAAUGGCGUAAUGAUGGCCAGGCUGUCUCCACCCGAGACUCAGUGAAAUUGAACUCGCUGUGAAGAUGCAGUGUACCCGCGGCAAGACGGAAAGACCCCGUGAACCUUUACUAUAGCUUGACACUGAACAUUGAGCCUUGAUGUGUAG